UUUUAAAGUAUAUAACAUUUCGGAACCGAAUCCUAUAUAAUCCGACUAAAUUGUUCAAUUGAUCAGUUCAGAUUCAGAAUGAAGUGCCUUUUGAUCUUGGUUGGCCUGACACUCUAUAUGUCCUGCACUGACGCACAAAGUACUUGCGUAGGACGUCCUAUUAAUCAGGUAUGCACUGGCAAUCAGGAUGAAGGAAACAGUAAUACACGCUGGUGCGGCGUGACUGCCAUGAACGAAAUGUGGUACUGGAGUUCGAGGACCAGAAAGUGUGAAAAGAUGAGGUAUCGCGGCUGUGGCGGCAACAAUAAUCGCUAUUGCAGUAACCGAGAUUGUACAUUAAAGUGCAGACGAUAAAUGUUUGGAUUCCGUUAACAUUAUAAACUGACAGAAUAAAUAUUAAAUUAAAAAAAAAUGCUUUUCCAAAUGAUUAUAACAACAUCUGAACUAUUCUGUUACAUACUUUGUCGGUGUAAUAACUUCUUGUUAAGAACCUUAAAAUAAAAUUCAAGUUCAAGUCGAAAAUUACACAAAUGCAAUUUGUAACAUCAUCAACAACUUUUUCAAAUUUUUUUUAUACAUUUUUCUUCUUGAAAAUUAAUUGAAAUUUCUGGCCGGAUAUUAAAAAUAGUUUUUAUUUUACGCAAUAAUUAAUUGGUAUUCGAAUUUACAAUAAUUAGAAAAGAUCGUUAGCUGUACAAAACAGUUUUACGACAACGUUAGAACGUAAAAGAAGUUCAAUGUAAAAAAGCUUUCUUGCUUCAACAUGUUAAAUUGUUUAAAUUUCUAAAAAAUCAUAACUGAUAUGGUCUCUGCUUAUAGAACACUACAAAUAUUUAUUUGAGUGAAACACAAUUUUAUGAUAUACAAUAACUUAACUUUUGAAGUUAUUGUAUAUCAUAAAAUUGUGUUUCUUAUUAAAACAAUUAAAAGUGUGGUACUACAACAAAUCUGCUGAAAUAUGCCUGAAGUUGAAUUACCAAGGAACACUUAAACUGUUUAUUUAUGUGAACUGAUCUGUUGACGUAACUGCUAAUGGAACUCAAAAACAAAAGCUCCAGCUUUGAACUCAGAAAUCAGUUCGAAACGAUUAUUCGAAAAGAAACUAUCGAAAAUGAAAAUUCUUUUGGUUUUGUCCUGCCUGAUCCUUUGUGUGUCCCUCAUCUCGGCUCAGACUUGCCAAGGACUUCCUCCGAAUGGCCAGAACUGCAAUGGCGGCAAGGAUGAAGGAGCUGCCAGGCAAGCUCGCGGAGGAGCGCAGUGCACUCCUCAGCCAAAUAACAGCAUGUGGUACUACAACAGGACUACUGGGAAAUGCCUGAAGAUGAGCUACAAAGGGUGUUACGGCAACAAAAACCGCUACUGCACCCUACAAAGCUGUGAGCGGGCAUGCCCUGGUCGAAGCUAGAAGAUAGCAUAACGAAAUAAAAUUAUUAAACUGCACAACACGA